UCGUGAACCAACUCCCCUUCAUUCAUGCGCUCCUUGGAGACCUCUGAAGUAAAGCAAACCUUAGCCCUUCAUUGUCGCCACCGUCCCAAGGUCCUCAGCGCCGCCGCCAUUCCCAAGUCCUCAACGCUGCCGCUUCUUCCUCUUCCCCAUGUCUGGAGCCCAGGUAGCUCGGCACGUCGUGUUCAUCAUCGCUGGCUUCUCUGUUCGUGGCUUGGAGCAUCUCAUUGUCGGGUCGCCGCUUGUCGUCGUCUCGCCUAUCGCCUCGUCUCGCCGUUUGCCAUCCGUGUCUCCGUCGAAGAACUUGUAGCUUUGUCUGGAACCCACACUCUUGGAAGUAAAGGUUUUGGAAGUCCAACGACUUCUUUUGACAAUGCAUAUUAUAAGAUUCGUUUGGAGAAGCCUUAGGCAAAUUCAGGUGGCAUGUCAAGUAUGAUUGGCCUUCCUUCAGAUCUCAAAUGUCGGUUUUGUUCUCAAAUGCUUCAAUAUUAGGAUUAAAUUAUUAUAUAAAUGGGUAAAACAAUUUAGGAUUAGAAGCAUAAUGUUCAAUUUUAAUAUUUAGAUAUUUUUUUAUCAUUUAACUUUUGAGUUUGUAUUUUGAUAAAGAUCAUAUGGUUUUAGUUGAUGACAUUUCAUGUAGUGUUUUAAAUUUGAAAGAUAUUUAAAGAUUUAUACUAGACUAAUAAUUAUAUUUAGGAUAUUUAUUUAUAAUUUAUUUAUUAUUUUAUUUUAAAACGAUUUUUUCGGUCGAACCACGAUUAGACCGGUCAAACCAGUAAAACCGUGAACCAGUGCUUAGAACAGUUUAAUGACCGUCCGAUUCUCAUUACUAUAAUUAGUAUAAUUUGUGUGAUUUUACCAACGAGUUAUAGUUCAAAUGGCAUAGUCUCUCCAUACUCAUUUAAGAGGUUGCGGAUUCAAGUCUCCUAUAUUUGGUUAAAAAAAAAGAAACUGAUGAUUUUCACUUUAUCAAUUUCUUUACCGAAACGAGGCAAUAAACAACACAUUUUGAGCU